GGGUUGCUAACUCAACGGUAGAGUACUCGGCUUUUAAUCCGACUAGUUCCGGGUUCGAGUCCCGGGCAACCCAUUAUCCAUU
rnacentral:tRNA from 1 species